GUUGUAUGGUUAAGUGACUAAGCGUACACGGUGGAUGCCUUGGCAGUCAGAGGCGAUGAAAGACGUAGUAACUUGCGAUAAGCCCAGAUUAGGUAGUAACAACCAUUUGAGUCUGGGAUUUCUGAAUGGGGAAACCCACGUGCAUAAGCACGUAUC
rnacentral:rRNA from 1 species